GUGGUCGCUCCCGCGCACAUACCCCACAAUUGGAAUGAUACAGAGAGGAUCAGCAUGGCCCCUGCGCAAGGAUGACACACAAAUUCAUGAAGCAGUCCGUAUUUUA
ensembl:snRNA U6 U6 spliceosomal RNA